rnacentral:rRNA from 1 species
UAGGGAAUCUUCGGCAAUGGGGGGAACCCUGACCGAGCAACGCCGCGUGAGUGAAGAAGGUUUUCGGAUCGUAAAGCUCUGUUGUUAAGGAAGAACGAGUGUGAGAAUGGAAAGUUCAUACUGUGACGGUACUUAACCAGAAAGGGACGGCUAACUACGUGCCAGCAGCCGCGGUAAUACGUAGGUCCCGAGCGUUGUCCGGAUUUAUUGGGCGUAAAGCGAGCGCAGGCGGUUAGAUAAGUCUGAAGUUAAAGGCAGUGGCUCAACCAUUGUAGGCUUUGGAAGCUGUUUAACUUGAGUGCAGAAGGGGAGAGUGGAAUUCCAUGUGUAGCGGUGAAAUGCGUAGAUAUAUGGAGGAACACCGGUGGCGAAAGCGGCUCUCUGGUCUGUAACUGACGCUGAGGCUCGAAAGCGUGGGGAGCGAACAGG